ACUGGGAGCGUGGCGCCUCCUGUAACGUGAGCUACUCACGAGUCGGAUUACGGACUGGCUUGAGGUUGGGGUCCACUGUGUGCCGGUCAGGUCCAUGUUGACGGGACGUCCGCACUAAGCUGACCGUCAAUAUGGGUGCAAUGGGGGAGCCCGAUGCAUUCAGGUUGGCUAAAGAGAGAUGAACCGAGCGAGGGGUGAAAACCAGCAGCUAAAAGUCUCCGCGGUAAGCAGUAGUGGGAUCGCGUCCCGGAGUGGACCUCCGGUGCCAGCCCGGCCGAUAUAGUCACACCGUGAUCUUU
rfam:Culex pipiens quinquefasciatus supercont3.147 genomic scaffold, whole genome shotgun sequence.